rnacentral:rRNA from 1 species
CGCCCGUCGCUCCUACCGAUUGGGUGUGCUGGUGAAGUGUUCGGAUUGGCGGCCGCGCCAGUGGCUCGCCCGCUGCCGGCCGCCGAGAAGUUCAUUAAACCCUCCCACCUAGAGGAAGGAGAAGUCGUAACAAGGUUUCC